rnacentral:lncRNA from 1 species
UGAUAGAUUAUUUAAUCCAUUUAUUUUUUUGAUAAUACUUAGGAUCAAACUUGGAAGUUCAUUCAUGCUAGACAAGUUCUCUGCCACUGAACUACGUACACAGUCCUUUUUUAUUUUUAUCUUGAGAUGGAGUCUUACUAAAUUGCAGAAGCUAGACUUGUACUUGCCAUCCUCCUGCCUCAGCUUUCUAAUUAGCUGGGAUUACACGUGGUGCCACCAGGCCCAUGGAUCCCUUUAUUUUUAAUACUUCACCCCAUGAUGUGGGCAUUGUAUCACCUCACAUCAUCACAAGAAGAAGAGUGAUUACAUGAUAACAAGAUAUUUUGAGGCCAGCCCGGGGGGAGGCUCACGGGAACGCAGCACAGCUUGGCCAGAGUGGGCGACUAAGGACCACCAGGGAGGGGAGUGUCGGGAUGGCCCAUCCGCGGACCAGGGAAUACAAAGCAGGCAACCUGGUCUUUGCCAAGGUGAAGGGCUACCCGCACUGGCCAGUGCGGAGU